ACCAGUAGAACGAACCCGAGUUACCCUGAGUUACUGGCUGCGUAUCAGUGCGGGUCCGCAGCAAAUUCAGUCCUCCCCUCCUCAGAAGAAAUAAGUCGACUGAGGGGCCUGAGACAGGAGAGACCGAGGUUUCACUGUUCCUAGCUAAAAUUCCAGGCUCUGUUGCAUCUCGUUAUGUUAAUAUGACACAGUUCUGGCUAAUAACAUGGAGAUGUAAGUCCCUGAGAGAAGGCUUCCUUUCAGAAAUUUGUCUUCAGAAAUAAAAAAGGCAGACCCCUGUGAAGGAUGGUAGAAAGCAAUCUUCAGCCUGAGACCCAUUCCUAGGGACAUGGAUGAAGCUGGAAACCAUCGUUCUCAGCAAACUCUUGCAAGGACAAAAAACCAAUCACCGCAUGUUCUCACUCAUAGGUGGGAAUUGAACAAUGAGAACACAUGGACACAGGUAGGGGAACAUCACACACCGGGGCCUGUUGUGGGGUGGGGAGAGCGGGGAAGGAUAGCAUUAGGAUAUAUACCUAAUGUUAAAUGAAGAGUUAAUGGGUGCAGCACACCAACAUGUCACA